ensembl:snRNA U6 U6 spliceosomal RNA
GUGCUGGCUUCAGCAGCGCAUACACUAAAAUUGGAAUGAUGCAGAGACUAGCAUGGUCCCUGCGCAAGGAUGACAUGCAAAUUCAUGAAUCCUUCCUUUUUUUU